rnacentral:rRNA from 1 species
GAUGAACGCUGGCGGCGUGCCUAAUACAUGCAAGUCGAGCGAACGGACGAGAAGCUUGCUUCUCUGAUGUUAGCGGCGGACGGGUGAGUAACGCGUGGAUAACCUACCUAUAAGACUGGGAUAACUUCGGGAAACCGUAGCUAAUACCGGAUAAUAUUUUGAACCGCAUGGUUCCAAAGUGAAAGACGGUCUUGCUGUCACUUAUAGAUGGAUCCGCGCUGCAUUAGCUAGUUGGUAAGGUAACGGCUUACCAAGGCAACGAUGCAUAGCCGACCUGAGAGGGUGAUCGGCCACACUGGAACUGAGACACGGUCCAGACUCCUACGGGAGGCAGCAGUAGGGAAUCUUCCGCAAUGGGCGAAAGCCUGACGGAGCAACGCCGCGUGAGUGAUGAAGGUCUUCGGAUCGUAAAACUCUGUUAUUAGGGAAGAACAUAUGUGUAAGUAACUGUGCACAUCUUGACGGUACCUAAUCAGAAAGCCACGGCUAACUACGUG